UACGUAGGGUGCUAGCGUUGUCCGGAUUUAUUGGGCGUAAAGAGCUCGUAGGCGGUCUGUCGCGUCGAAUGUGAAAACCCGGGGCUCAACUCCGGGCUUGCAUUCGAUACGGGCAGGCUAGAGUUCGGUAGGGGAGUCUGGAAUUCCUGGUGUAGCGGUGAAAUGCGCAGAUAUCAGGAGGAACACCGGUGGCGAAGGCGGGACUCUGGGCCGAUACUGACGCUGAGGAGCGAAAGCGUGGGGAGCGAACAGG
rnacentral:rRNA from 1 species